rnacentral:rRNA from 1 species
AAUAGAUACCCUGGUAGUCCACGCCGUAAACGGUGGGCACUAGGUGUGGGCAACAUUCCACGUUGUCCGUGCCGCAGCUAACGCAUUAAGUGCCCCGCCUGGGGAGUACGGCCGCAAGGCUAAAACUCAAAGGAAUUGACGAGGGCCCGCACAAGCGGCGGAGCAUGUGGCUUAAUUCGACGCAACGCGAAGAACCUUACCAAGGCUUGACAUACACCGGAAAGCAUCAGAGAUGGUGCCCCCCUUGUGGUCGGUGUACAGGUGGUGCAUGGCUGUCGUCAGCUCGUGUCGUGAGAUGUUGGGUUAAGUCCCGCAGCGAGCGCAACCCUUGUCCCGUGUUGCCAGCAACUCUUCGGAGGUUGGGGACUCACGGGAGACCGCCGGGGUCAACUCGGAGGAAGGUGGGGACGACGUCAAGUCAUCAUGCCCCUUAUGUCUUGGGCUGCACACGUGCUACAAUGGCCGGUACAAUGAGCUGCGAUACCGCAAGGUGGAGCGAAUCUCAAAAGCCGGUCUCAGUUCGGAUUGGGGUC